AUGGGGAGGCUACAGCCCAGCAUUGUAUAAAAGGGCCUGUGGCCUGAGUGUCCACAUCCACUCUCCUGAGCAGCUGAGGAACCCUGUGCCACCUGUACCUGUGGGAAUAUGAACCACAGUGUGUUUUGGAGUGCAAAAGGUGGGAGUUCUGGAUUCUGUCAUUGCUCUCCACUGGACAUGGGCUGAGCAUUGCUCCUGAGCACCACCCACUAGCAUGUCCUGCCAGCAGAGCCAGCAGCAGUGCCAGCCCCCUCCCAAGUGCACCCCAAGUGCCCUCCCAAACAUCAGGCCCCCAAGAGUCCCCCAAGUGUCUUGCUGCAGCUCUGGGGGUGAGGCUGCUGCCUGAGCCACCACAGG